AACACAGUGCUGCCCAGAAGACCAGGGUGAGCAUGCUGCAUGAACUGCUGCCCUCGUGAUGCCGGGAAUAGGGAGUGAUGUGCACGAGCUGUCACCGCAUGGCUGCGUGUGGCCCUUUAAAGCCAUCCUUUGUGACCUCAGUGACUCAACAUGAGGGACAUCAGCAAAAGGGAAAGGAAAUGCCAGAGCGUGACACAAUUGUUUCCAGGCAAGCAGGUUCCUGGUGGAGAGCCAGGUGCUGAUACCCGGACUCACACGACCACCCUCUGUCGCUGGCUUUCAGAAAAGUCAUCACUGAUUGCAAAGAGCAUGAAAAGCAUGGUGAUGACAAUAUCGCUUACCUCUUGUGAGGAUCUGGCUUCUCACGGCUGCUGA
rnacentral:lncRNA from 1 species